rnacentral:rRNA from 1 species
AGGGCGCACGGUGGAUGCCUUGACACUAGGAGUCGAUGAAGGACGGGACUAACGCCGAUAUGCUUCGGGGAGCUGUAAGUAAGCUUUGAUCCGAAGAUUUCCGAAUGGGGAAACCCACCAUACGUAAUGGUAUGGUAUCCUUAUCUGAAUACAUAGGGUAAGGAAGACAGACCCAGGGAACUGAAACAUCUAAGUACCUGGAGGAAGAGAAAGCAAAUGCGAUUUCCUGAGUAGCGGCGAGCGAAACGGAACAUAGCCCAAACCAAGAGGCUUGCCUCUUGGGGUUGUAGGACAUUCUAUACGGAGUUACAAAGGAACGAGGUAGACGAAGCGACCUGGAAAGGUCCGUCGUAGAGGGUAACAACCCCGUAGUCGAAACUUCGUUCUCUCUUGAAUGUAUCCUGAGUACGGCGGAACACGUGAAAUUCCGUCGGAAUCUGGGAGGACCAUCUCCCAAGGCUAAAUACUCCCUAGUGAUCGAUAGUGAACCAGUACCGUGAGGGAAAGGUGAAAAGCACCCCGGAAGGGGAGUGAAAGAGAUCCUGAAACCGUGUGCCUACAAAUAGUCAGAGCCCGUUAACGGGUGAUGGCGUGCCUUUUGUAGAAUGAACCGGCGAGUUACGAUCCCGUGCGAGGUUAAGCUGAAGAGGCGGAGCCGCAGCGAAAGCGAGUCUGAAUAGGGCGUUUAGUACGUGGUCGUAGACCCGAAACCAGGUGAUCUACCCAUGUCCAGGGUGAAGUUCAGGUAACACUGAGUGGAGGCCCGAACCCACGCACGUUGAAAAGUGCGGGGAUGAGGUGUGGGUAGCGGAGAAAUUCCAAUCGAACCUGGAGAUAGCUGGUUCUCCCCGAAAUAGCUUUAGGGCUAGCCUUAAGUGUAAGAGUCUUGGAGGUAGAGCACUGAUUGGACUAGGGGUCCUCAUCGGAUUACCGAAUUCAGUCAAACUCCGAAUGCCAAUGACUUAUCCUUAGGAGUCAGACUGCGAGUGAUAAGAUCCGUAGUCAAAAGGGAAACAGCCCAGACCGCCAGCUAAGGUCCCAAAGUGUGUAUUAAGUGGAAAAGGAUGUGGAGUUGCUUAGACAACUAGGAUGUUGGCUUAGAAGCAGCCACCAUUUAAAGAGUGCGUAAUAGCUCACUAGUCGAGUGACUCUGCGCCGAAAAUGUACCGGGGCUAAAUACACCACCGAAGCUGCGGAUUGAUACCAAUGGUAUCAGUGGUAGGGGAGCGUUCUAAGGACAGUGAAGUCAGACCGGAAGGACUGGUGGAGUGCUUAGAAGUGAGAAUGCCGGUAUGAGUAGCGAAAGACGGGUGAGAAUCCCGUCCACCGAAUGCCUAAGGUUUCCUGAGGAAGGCUCGUCCGCUCAGGGUUAGUCAGGACCUAAGCCGAGGCCGACAGGCGUAGGCGAUGGACAACAGGUUGAUAUUCCUGUACCACCUCUUUAUCGUUUGAGCAAUGGAGGGACGCAGAAGGAUAGAAGAAGCGUGCGAUUGGUUGUGCACGUCCAAGCAGUUAGGCUGAUAAGUAGGCAAAUCCGCUUAUCGUGAAGGCUGAGCUGUGAUGGGGAAGCUCCUUAUGGAGCGAAGUCUUUGAUUCCCCGCUGCCAAGAAAAGCUUCUAGCGAGAUAAAAGGUGCCUGUACCGCAAACCGACACAGGUAGGCGAGGAGAGAAUCCUAAGGUGUGCGAGAGAACUCUGGUUAAGGAACUCGGCAAAAUGACCCCGUAACUUCGGGAGAAGGGGUGCUUUCUUAACGGAAAGCCGCAGUGAAUAGGCCCAAGCGACUGUUUAGCAAAAACACAGCUCUCUGCGAAGCCGUAAGGCGAAGUAUAGGGGGUGACACCUGCCCGGUGCUGGAAGGUUAAGGAGAGGGGUUAGCGUAAGCGAAGCUCUGAACUGAAGCCCCAGUAAACGGCGGCCGUAACUAUAACGGUCCUAAGGUAGCGAAAUUCCUUGUCGGGUAAGUUCCGACCCGCACGAAAGGUGUAACGAUUUGGGCACUGUCUCAACCAGAGACUCGGUGAAAUUAUAGUACCUGUGAAGAUGCAGGUUACCCGCGACAGGACGGAAAGACCCCGUGGAGCUUUACUGUAGCCUGAUAUUGAAUUUUGGUACAGUUUGUACAGGAUAGGCGGGAGCCAUUGAAACCGGAGCGCUAGCUUCGGUGGAGGCGCUGGUGGGAUACCGCCCUGACUGUAUUGAAAUUCUAACCUACGGGUCUUAUCGACCGGGAGACAGUGUCAGGUGGGCAGUUUGACUGGGGCGGUCGCCUCCUAAAGUGUAACGGAGGCGCCCAAAGGUUCCCUCAGAAUGGUUGGAAAUCAUUCGUAGAGUGCAAAGGCAUAAGGGAGCUUGACUGCGAGACCUACAAGUCGAGCAGGGACGAAAGUCGGGCUUAGUGAUCCGGUGGUUCCGCAUGGAAGGGCCAUCGCUCAACGGAUAAAAGCUACCCCGGGGAUAACAGGCUUAUCUCCCCCAAGAGUCCACAUCGACGGGGAGGUUUGGCACCUCGAUGUCGGCUCAUCGCAUCCUGGGGCUGUAGUCGGUCCCAAGGGUUGGGCUGUUCGCCCAUUAAAGCGGUACGCGAGCUGGGUUCAGAACGUCGUGAGACAGUUCGGUCCCUAUCCGUCGUGGGCGUAGGAAAUUUGAGAGGAGCUGUCCUUAGUACGAGAGGACCGGGAUGGACGCACCGCUGGUGUACCAGUUGUUCUGCCAAGGGCAUAGCUGGGUAGCUAUGUGCGGAAGGGAUAAGUGCUGAAAGCAUCUAAGCAUGAAGCCCCCCUCAAGAUGAGAUUUCCCAUAGCGUAAGCUAGU